CCUACGGGAGGCAGCAGUGAGGAAUAUUGGUCAAUGGACGCAAGUCUGAACCAGCCAUGCCGCGUGCAGGAAGACGGCUCUAUGAGUUGUAAACUGCUUUUGUACGAGGGUAAACGCAGAUACGUGUAUCUGUCUGCAAGUAUCGUACGAAUAAGGAUCGGCUAACUCCGUGCCAGCAGCCGCGGUAAUACGGAGGAUUCAAGCGUUAUCCGGAUUUAUUGGGUUUAAAGGGUGCGUAGGCGGUAGGAUAAGUUAGAGGUGAAAUCUCGAGGCUCAACUUCGGAAUUGCCUUUGAUACUGUUCGGCUAGAGAGUAGUAGAGGUAGGCGGAAUGUAUGGUGUAGCGGUGAAAUGCUUAGAGAUCAUACAGAACACCGAUUGCGAAGGCAGCUUACCAAGCUACUUCUGACGUUGAGGCACGAAAGCGUGGGGAGCAAACAGGAUUAGAUACCCUUGUAGUC
rnacentral:rRNA from 1 species